AUUGGUGGAGUGGCAAUGCACUCGGCUGGCGGUCUGUUGGUCGCCGAUUCAAAUCCUGCUGGCCC
rnacentral:tRNA from 16 species